rnacentral:rRNA from 1 species
GACGGAGGAUGCAAGUGUUAUCCGGAAUCACUGGGCGUAAAGCGUCUGUAGGUGGUUUUAAAAAAGUCUACUGUUAAAGCUUGAAGCUUAACUUCAAAAAUGCCGUAGAAACUUUUAAACUUGAGUAUGGUAGGGGUAGAGGGAAUUUCCAGUGGAGCGGUGAAAUGCGUAGAUCUUGGAAAGACCACCAAUGGCGAAGGCACUCUACUGGGCCAUUACUGACACUAAGAGACGAAAGCUAGGGGAGCAAAUGGG